CUGUAAAUAUGGCGGAGGUUAUAAACUGAUGUCUUAUUUUUAGCCCUCCUUGGGGAGUUCAAGCCCAGAGAUGCUGUUGCCUGAUUUUGAUGUUGAUCAAACACCUGAAGACGAGGAGGUUCCCGAGGGAGAAACUAAUUUUGGCAGUGAGAUUGAAGAACUUG